rnacentral:rRNA from 1 species
GGAGUCUGGACCGUGUCUCAGUUCCAGUGUGGGGGACCUUCCUCUCAGAACCCCUAGACAUCGUCGCCUCGGUGGGCCGUUACCCCGCCGACUAGCUAAUGUCACGCGAGCCAAUCCGUAUGCGAUGAAUCUUUCAACAGGUGAUCAUGCGAUCUCCUGUGUUACGGGGUAUUAGACGACGUUUCCAUCGCUUAUCCCCCUCAUACGGGCAUGUUGCUCACGCGUUACGCACCCUUCCGCCGGCGCCGCCAAAGUAUUGCUACCUCGCGCUGCCCCUCGACUUGCAUGUGUUAAGCCUGCCGCUAGCGUUCAUC